rnacentral:lncRNA from 1 species
UGAAAUUCAUGGCACGGGAUGGCUUGGGCCAUCAUCACUGCUGAAGUAACAAGGUCUUUCUUCCUGCACAUCUUUUCUCUUGCUCUCAAUUACACUGUUCACCCUGCACCAAUCUGCACACAUGUCAUGGUUUUGUGAUUUUUGGUUAUUGGUAUUCCACAUCAUAACAUCAUGUAGUGGACAUACCUAGUUCUCAGAAGAGAAGGACUACUACAGUCCCCACGGUACUUUGCUCCUUUGUUACCAUUUUCCAGCCGGAGGGAAAAGAUAGAAGCUCGCAGUAUAAAAACUUGCAGAUCACGAGACCUCGUCCCUUUUUCCGCCGUCUCUCGUCUUGGCAGCACCUCGCUCUCCAGCCGUCUUAUCGUCGGUAGUAGAGUAAGGCCUACCUUGAUUUUGGGACAUUCUCUCUCUCUGUGUUGGAUUUAUCAGCUUAAAUUGUAAUUAUAUUGUAUUAUAGUGUGUUGUUUUGCAUUCCGAUAUCUUAUUUAGUAAAUUAGUUUGUUUCUCCUCAGAUUGUUGCCGCUGUUCUUUGCUCUCAGGGCCAUCUCCCUACCCUUUUCCCCCUUUCCCCUUUUCCCGGGACGUGGGCCCUUGGGUCCCCUGUCCCCUUCGUCACGGAAUCGGGCCUAACGCCCGUAAACCGUUGACAACACAUAAGACCCCUAUCAUCCUUACUUGCCAGAAAAGUGAAUCAGUAGGAAAAAAAGGCCUUUUUCUUGAUUAGAGACAGGAUAGGGCUGCAUGGAGACAGAUAAGAAGAACACCUCUUCUGGAGACCAUAUCUCCAUAGCAAUUUUGUUUACAUCAAUCUCUGGUUUCAUGGGUAGAGUUGAUCUCUGCACUGAGAAUAGGGUCUACACCCAGGGGUACCGAACUACAUGCUUUAAUGUUCUUCUUACUAUUCUGCAUGUAUGGAAUCCAAUGCACAGCAUGAACAAAUGUGAAUCUCAUAUUUGGAGAAGCAUAAAUUGUGUCAGUCCAUCUUUAUAACAACUUCCAAGAGCAAGGAUCAAAAAUCUCCCAUCUUCCAAGAGAGCACUGUGGAUGGUGGAAGUAGUGAAUGUUUGUUCUGCUCAGUUUUAUUCCUGCACUUGUGCUGUUAUUGCCAUCAAGAUCUUUAACUGUUUCUCAGUACCUCAGUUGGGAACCUGUUGCUCCUUACAUUUAAUAUAAGAGCAAAACUCAUUUUGCAGCAUUUGUCAAACUAUGAAGGAUUAAAUGGAGCCCUUAACCAUAUCUAAUGCUAUGUGCGUCUCAUCUAAAUUUUGGAGCUCCUGGAAUCCAGGCAACCACAUUUUCUUCUGUAACGUGGGGAAACUGAAUGCUGUAAUGUCUAU